rnacentral:rRNA from 1 species
UACGAAGGGGGCUAGCGUUGCUCGGAAUCACUGGGCGUAAAGGGCGCGUAGGCGGACUUUUAAGUCGGGGGUGAAAGCCCAGGGCUCAACCCUGGAAUUGCCUUCGAUACUGAAGAUCUCGAGACCGGAAGAGGUAAGUGGAACUGCGAGUGUAGAGGUGAAAUUCGUAGAUAUUCGCAAGAACACCAGUGGCGAAGGCGGCUUACUGGUCCGGUUCUGACGCUGAGGCGCGAAAGCGUGGGGAGCAAACAGG